ACUCCUGCGGGAGGCAGCAGUGGGGAAUAUUGCACAAUGGGCGCAAGCCUGAUGCAGCCAUGCCGCGUGUAUGAAGAAGGCCUUCGGAUUGUAAAGUACUUUCAGCGGGGAGGAAGGCGAUAAGGUUAAUAACCUUGUCGAUUGACGUUACCCGCAGAAGAAGCACCGGCUAACUCCGUGCCAGCAGCCGCGGUAAUACGGAGGGUGCAAGCGUUAAUCGGAAUUACUGGGCGUAAAGCGCACGCAGGCGGUCUGUCAAGUCGGAUGUGAAAUCCCCGGGCUCAACCUGGGAACUGCAUUCGAAACUGGCAGGCUAGAGUCUUGUAGAGGGGGGUAGAAUUCCAGGUGUAGCGGUGAAAUGCGUAGAGAUCUGGAGGAAUACCGGUGGCGAAGGCGGCCCCCUGGACAAAGACUGACGCUCAGGUGCGAAAGCGUGGGGAGCAAACAGGAUUAGAAACCCCUGUAGUCCCAU
rnacentral:rRNA from 1 species